CAGUCGCCGCGGGAAUACGUAGGUGGCAAGCGUUGUCCGGAAUUAUUGGGCGUAAAGGGCUCGCAGGCGGUUUCUUAAGUCUGAUGUGAAAGCCCCCGGCUCAACCGGGGAGGGUCAUUGGAAACUGGGAAACUUGAGUGCAGAAGAGGAGAGUAGAAUUCCACGUGUAGCGGUGAAAUGCGUAGAGAUGUGGAGGAACACCAGUGGCGAAGGCGACUCUCUGGUCUGUAACUGACGCUGAGGAGCGAAAGCGUGGGGAGCAAAUGGGAUUAGAUACCCCCGUAGUCCCUGUCUCUUAUAC
rnacentral:rRNA from 1 species